GGAUUCUUCUACGGAAAUAAUAUUAUAUUGUACUAAUUUAAUUAUUCUACCUAGAUUCAUUUUUCUUGUUGUAGUCUUUCAGAAAUCUGAGUGCAUUACUUGACAUAUGCAUGUGUGUUGCAAGGCACACUCAUGUGUAGGGAUAAAAAUUGGCAAAAAUGAAAUACGGAAAAUUGUAUUAAUCCUUCGAAAUAGCUCUUACGGAAUUCCAUAGAUUUAACAAUAAAGAAUUAUUGUUUGUUAAACGGUAUAAUUAAUAAUGUCCUGGGAACAGAUUCGCCAAAUGAUCAUAAUAAUAUUUCGGGUCAGUGAGAAGAAUAUAGUUAUGUAUUAUGGAAAAUUUACUACAAUAAUAAUAUGUUGUACUUUUGCUAUUAUUAGGUGCGAGAGUAAAAG